CCUUGUACACACCGCCCGUCACACCAUGGGAGUUGGUUUACUCGAAGGCGGUGCGCUAACCCGCAAGGGAGGCAGCCGACCACGGUAGGUCAGCGACUGGGUG
rnacentral:rRNA from 1 species